AGCAGCGUGGCUCAGUGGAAAGAGCCCGGCUUUGGGAGUCAGAGGUCAUGGGUUAGAAUCCCGGCUCUGCCG
rnacentral:tRNA from 1 species